rfam:Pseudomonas sp. TW4, complete genome.
AUACGUGUAGGGUGGAGAUGCACAACCGCCGGACUGUGUAGCAACAGGCUUUCUCCAGACGCUUCAUCUCGUCCACAGCCGCUGGUUGAUUCCUCCUCCUGACUGAGUGCUUAAGUAGCCACAGCAAGCAGGACGCGUACGUCGCGAUGAAGGCCCACAUUGGCCGGACUUCGCUGGACACGGGAAAUGGCCAACCACUCCCGACGCACCUGACACCGACCGUGAGAAGUCGUGUGUGCCGAACGCCGUUUCCGGCAGCCCGGAAACCGA